rnacentral:tRNA from 1 species
GAAGUCUUAGUUAAAUAAUAACAUUAAUUUGUCAGGCUAAAAUUGCUUUUAAAGCAGGCUUUU